rnacentral:lncRNA from 1 species
GGUUUUCAGAGUUGGGAGGAGAUUUUGUUUUUAUUUUUAUUAACAAUUUUGGCAACAGAGAUAGAAUGAGUUUCCAUUUUCUGAAUUGAGUGGUCCAGCUGAAGGUCUUGUGGGCACACAACACUCAGAAACCCUGAAACUUAAAGACAAUAGGAUCUGGAAGGACACGCCAGUGGAAAUUGGCUAUCUCUGUGGACCAGGAAAUUUCAUCUACAAAAAGGUAUUCCAGAAAGAAAAUGCAGUCACCAUGUUGGGAAGAAGGCUUUCAAGUGCUACUGAUCACUCGUUUGGCUAUCAGAGGUUAAAACAAAAUAAAACAAAAACCAAAACCAAAACAAAAGAGAAACAGCUCAGCUGGAGUCAUGCUUCCCACGUGGACACAGCACCCGGGGAAGACUUGACUGUGGUUCUCACAAGGCCUUGAAAUUUAAGUUUUCAAGAGUAACUGAUCUUCGUAUUGAAUUCAGAU